rnacentral:rRNA from 1 species
AUGUCGGAGAUGCCAUGCCGCCGGCGAGGACCACGGGCGACGUACGGGGGAGGGAGAGAGGGAGUUGGAUGCAUGGGAUCUAGCUCGAGCUGGAGCGGCAUGUUGGGGGUGCUCUUGCCGGUCGCCGCCAAAAAGAUGUGCCCUUUGCAAACCUCGCCCCAAUCAAUGGCACUGCCACCUACGACCUUAAUUUAUGGACGGUGUCAUGGUUGUUAUGAAGAAGGAGGAACGCGGACCCGGACGGCGUGGACGUGUGCCGUGCGUCGGGCUCUUGGAGCUCACCCUCGCCUUGGGCCUUUUUCCCUCCGGCGAUGCUCCACCUCUCCACCAACCCCGUCUCGGGCUCUUGGCCUUGUCCUGGUCCGCGCUGACCGCCAUGCAUGCCGGCCUCGAGGUGCUCUCCUCCGGGGACAGCCCUUACUGACUUGA